GGGGGCCCGCACAAGCGGUGGAGCAUGUGGUUUAAUUCGACGCAACGCGCAGAACCUUACCAGCCCUUGACAUGUCCAGGACCGGUCGCAGAGACGUGACCUUCUCUUCGGAGCCUGGAACACAGGUGCUGCAUGGCUGUCGUCAGCUCGUGUCGUGAGAUGUUGGGUUAAGUCCCGCAACGAGCGCAACCCCCGUCCUUAGUUGCUACCAUUUAGUUGAGCACUCUAAGGAGACUGCCGGUGAUAAGCCGCGAGGAAGGUGGGGAUGACGUCAAGUCCUCAUGGCCCUUACGGGCUGGGCUACACACGUGCUACAAUGGCGGUGACAGUGGGAUGCGAAGACGCAAGUCCUAGCAAAUCUCAAAAAGCCGUCUCAGUUCGGAUUGGGCUCUGCAACUCGAGCCCAUGAAGUUGGAAUCGCUAGUAAUCGUGGAUCAGCACGCCACGGUGAAUACGUUCCCGGGCCUUGUACACACCGCCCGUCACACCAUGGGAGUUGGCUUUACCUGAAGACGGUGCGCUAACCAGCAAUGGAGGCAGCCGGCCACGGUAGGGUCAGCGACUGGGGUGAAGUCG
rnacentral:rRNA from 1 species